CCAGAAGUACAGAAAAGAGUGGAAGUCUGUACCUGAACAAAUGUCAAAUCAUAUUCUUUGCCGAGAUGGCCAGUCAAUUUGAGUAACGUUAUUGUGUAACGUCAUUUCGCAACUUUUAGCAACAAAUCAACCUGCCUCUAGCAACUUACCCUGAAAAUGAGUUGGCAACACUGGGUAGGCCUAAUCAAGCCACCAGAGAGGAAAUGAAACUGAAAAUAAGGUUGCAGUCAGUCAUUUAAAACCUAUGCCUAGUAGAAUAAUCCUACACUAUACAAGUAUUUGCCUAUUACAUUAGGCCUAGUAAAUUAAAUUAACCUGUUGUUUAUCAGAGGACUGUUUGUAAUGUAAGACUGGCAUUGUAACGUUUUUAAAAAGAUAAUGAAAACAGAUUCAUUACUUUACUUUACUGGUUGUAUGUGCACAUGGCUCUUAUGGGAUAUUUGCGGACAUGUAGGCCUACAUGUGUAAAGGAAAUAAAGUUCAACAGACAGUGUGUGUUGCCUCCUUUUCCCCCUUCUGGUUGGUGUGCCUCCUCACAUCGGAUCCCAUGCAUAAUAUGUUUUUCUGUGAUGAAAUAUGAGCAAAAUGUAAGCAUAAAUUGUGAACGGAGGUUGUAUGGCAAAUAUUUUAAUAGCAACUCUUUCUGAAACAGGUGAGAUUGUGUCAGGGCUUUCUAAACAGGUGCAAUUGUGUCAGGGCUUUCUAAACAGAUGAGAUUGUGUCAGGGCUUUCUAAACAGGUGAGAUUGUGUCAGGGCUUUCUAAACAGGUGAGAUUGUGUCAGGGCUCUCUAAACAGGUGAGAUUGUGUCAGAGAUUUCUAAACAGGUGAGAUUGUGUCAGGGCUUUCUAAACAGGUGAGAUUGUGUCAGGGCUUUCUAAACAGGUGAGAUUGUGUCAGGGCUUUUCACCCGCUUGGUGGGAGCCCCCCCCCCCACCACGUGGUCACAUUUUUUUUUUGUGGCACCCCCUUGACAGCUGAGAGAAAAAUGUCAGUUUUAAAGUACAUUUUCAGCAUAGAGAACAUUUUGCAGUUUUAAAGGAAGUUUGCUGCAGCACCCCACCAAAAAAAAAUUAUCCACAAAAGUAGACGACUGCACCAAUAGUUCCUCUGUAAAUAUAACAUGUGCUGUUCUAAUUUCCUCUUGAACAUGACACUACAGUAGUUUUUCUGCAGUGCAAGUGUGGCCUCCAUAUAGCCUAUGUAGGCUAGGCUAAGCAUACUAUGCCCCCCCCCCUCCAAAUAAAUAAAUAAUAAUAAUACAUUUGGAACUCAGUCCAACUUUAAACUUACUCUUGAAAGUUGUAAUAGUAGAAUGCACAAAGUGCAAUUUUAAAAUUGGUGAUGGAUGAUUUAGCAUGGUUAUUCUCUCCACUGUAGUGAUGUAGGGAUGUGGUGAUGUAGGAAUGUAGUGAUGUAGGGAUGGACGUGACUCCUGAUGCAGGAGGAAUCCCACCUGAGGCGGAGUCACCACACACCACAAACACACACACAUUUGUUUCACUAUCCUUGUGGGUACCAAAACAUUUCAUCCCAUUCAAAAUCCUAUUUUCCCUAAACCUAAUCUUAACCCCAAACCCUAAAACUAAAUUUAACCCUUACUCCUAACCCUAAAUCUAACUCCUAAACUUAAUUGUAACCCUAACCCUAAUUGUAAGCCUAACCCUAAACCUAACCCAUAAGCCUUAAAUAGACUUUUUCCUUGUGGGGACCGGAGAAAUGUUUCCACUUUUCCAAAAUGUCCUUGUUUUACCAUCCUUGUGAGGGCUUUUGGUCCCCACAGGGAUAGCAAAACCAAACCAAACCACACACACACACAUUAUGUUCUUGUAUCCUCAUGGGGACCGACAAUUAAUUUGUAUUUAAAAUCCUAUUUCCCUAACCCUAAAACUUACCAUAACCUUAACCCGUAACCCUAACCACUAACCCCUUAUCCUAAUUCUAACCCUAAUUGUAACACUAAACCUAACCCCUAAACUUAAAAUAGUCUUUGAAAUGUCCCCAUGAGGGAGAGUUUUCCUUGUUUGACUAUCUUUGUGGGGACAAUUGGGGAUUUUAGUUCCCCACGAGGAUAGGAUAACCAACACACACACACACACAAUAGAUGGGGGGAACCAGUGAAUACAACACAUGCACUCAACAAUUUCUGGAGGUAAUAACAUUGAUUGAUACUGGGAAGAUGCAUAGUGCAACAGGUGUAUAGUUAUAUUUUUAGUAGUGGUAAUGUGUUUAUUAUACAUCCCUCCCAUUCAUCACAGACCAUCAGAGUCAGAGGGAGAAGUGUCUCUGGAUGAGUGGAAGGCCCUGCAGAAGCUGAGUCGCCCCAAGGCGGAGUUUAACCUCUGUAAGCUGGACAGCAAGGUGCCGUCCAAGGCAUAAAGUCCAAACGCAUUGAGAACACAAAGGCGGAGUCUGUUGAGGAAGAGGACAGCCACUUCUCCAGUCUGUGCAGGUCUGCCAGUGAUAUCACUUCCCGUCUGAAGUUCAACUUUGGCAGCCUGCAGCGCCCCAGUCGAAGGGGGAGAAAGGGGGGACGACUAGUCACCCUGAGAGAGCAGAGAAGACUCAGAGGGCUUAUGUCCUAGCCCCAAACCCAGAUCACCCUGAGGACUUCCCUGCCUUAGCUGUGGGGAGAUUAAUUAUUUUACCAAGACUACAAAGGAAUUCCUUUUGUUUGCAUUUGGCUCCUGGUGAAAUGGGUUGCACUUACAUUAAAGAAAAAUCUAUUCUAACA